GAUUUGCAAAUAUUCUAAGUAUCAAAACAAAUCUUCUCAAAGAUCAUCCAUAUCAAAAUCAAUCUUGGAAAAUCUCUCUCACUCUCUCACUCCCCCAUUUUCGUCCAUCUCCUUUUCUCCCUCAUCUCUCUCUUUCCUCCAUAACCACCAUUGAUGAAGACCACAAAAGCUUCAUAGAUUCAUACCAAGAGCUCAAAUCCACCUCUAAAUCUAGCCUAAACACCUUCUAUCUCCUAGAAUUCAAGAGAUCCAUGGAAGUUUAGUCUUGGAGUUAGAAAGAGAAAGUUUGGUUCUUGGUGUGAGCUUGGGCCCGAGCGAGAUGAAGAAGUAAGUCGCCUGUUUUCCUUUCCAAGUUGAGCGAAGGACUUCAGGCUAAGCGAGGAGCGAGAUUGGUCUGGUUCUGGUGGGGGAUUGUUUAGUUGAUGUAUUUACUUUAUCGCAUUUCCAUUUUGUCGAUACUGUCUUGAUGAUUGAGUUACUUUAUUUUCUUUUGAAUCAAGCAAUGUACUCUCGGUUAUGUGUCUUCAUACAUAUAAUCAGUUCGCCUUUUGCUGCGAUACUCUGAAUUUUAUGCUUCCUUAUAAAAAAUGAGCUAUACCCGCUUUGUUUU